rnacentral:lncRNA from 1 species
GACUAUCUUGGUGAAUGCAAUAAGAACCGGCUGCUCGCCGCAGCAGAGUGCUUUGCCCAUGCUGCUAUCCGCCGCCGAAGCGCUCAAGGGAUUCGUGCUUGAAUGUCGAGAUCAGGGGACUCUAUCCAAUCCAUGCGGCAAAUCUGUUUGUGGUGGAAAAAACUCAACAAUAAAAAGAAAUAAAUAGAAUAUAGAAAAUCAUUGAAUUUGUUUGCUCCGAUACAAGAGAUCGGCCCCGAAGCAAGAUAUGGUGGGUGCCAGCAACUUUCACUUGUUAGGAGUAGGGGCUGAAAAGAGCUCUUUGUAUAGGUUGGGUUUUCUGGGCUUUGAUUGCUUACCUUCUUAUUAUUAAAAGGGGAAGGUUUAAUAAAGGAGCUUUUCAGCCCUUUUGCUGGAUUGUUGGUCCGCAGCCCCGCCCUAUAGAAUGAAUAAGGAGAGGCUUAUCGAUGACCGAACCACUCUUAUACUACUCCUUACCUCACCCCCCUUGUCACUUAAAGGAAAAGCCAGAGAAGGGGGCCUGCUGGAAACCCUCGCC